rnacentral:rRNA from 1 species
GAUGAACGCUGGCGGCGUGCCUAAUACAUGCAAGUCGAGCGAACAGACGAGGAGCUUGCUCCUCUGACGUUAGCGGCGGACGGGUGAGUAACACGUGGAUAACCUACCUAUAAGACUGGGAUAACUUCGGGAAACCGGAGCUAAUACCGGAUAAUAUAUUGAACCGCAUGGUUCAAUAGUGAAAGACGGUUUUGCUGUCACUUAUAGAUGGAUCCGCGCCGCAUUAGCUAGUUGGUAAGGUAACGGCUUACCAAGGCAACGAUGCGUAGCCGACCUGACAGGGUGAUCGGCCACACGGGAACUGAGACACGGUCCAGACUCCUACGGGAGGCAGCAGUAGGGAAUCUUCCGCAAUGGGCGAAAGCCUGACGGAGCAACGCCGCGUGAGUGAUGAAGGUCUUCGGAUCGUAAAACUCUGUUAUUAGGGAAGAACAAAUGUGUAAGUAACUAUGCACGUCUUGACGGUACCUAAUCAGAAAGCCACGGCUAACUACGUG